GACGGAGGGUGCAAACGUUGUCCGGAUUUAUUGGGCGUAAAGAGCGUGUAGGCGGCCAUGUAGGUCCGGUGUGAAAACUCGAGGCUUAACCUCGAGAUGUCAUCGGAAACCAUUUGGCUAGAGUCCGGAAGAGGAGAGUGGAAUUCCGUGGUGUAGCGGUGAAAUGCGCAGAUAUCAGGAAGAACACCAAUGGCGAAAGCAGCUCUCUGGGACGGUACCUGACGCUGAGACGCGAAAGCGUGGGGAG
rnacentral:rRNA from 1 species